ACUAAUACAAAAAAUGAAAAUUGAAAAAGAAUGAAGAAAAAUGGAUGAGUUACCUCCCAUCAAGUGCCUUUGUUUAAUGUACUGUUAAUUUUUAUGCACUCAAAUUAGUUUGCCUUCAUAUAGCCUGCUUAGCUCAUUAAAACUUAUCACUAGAAGGGUCUUCUAUCCUACCAAGAACACAUAUUUCAAAUGUUCAGGCAGCGGUUUGAGCUCUAGUUUUAGUGCCUACAAAAUAGAAGGUAGAUAUUCUGUGUCAGAAAUAGAAAGGUCAACACACGGUGCAUUGCUCCUUUAAGGUUUAAAUGCCUCCAAUUCGACCAUAUCUUGUGAAUUCUUCUUAGUAACAAGAUCCUCUUCUAAAUUUUUUAAGCUGUCCACAUCAAAAUAAUUAGGAAACAUAAUGUUCAACUUAUCAUCAUGGCUUGAAUCAAUAUUUUUGACUCAAUGUAUCUACAGUAUCAACAUCAUACGCACAAGACACAUCGCUAGGAUACUUCAUAUCAUUAUAAACAUUAAAUUUUAAAAUUUCUCCAUCAAAUUCAAUAGUGAGUGUAUCAUCCUGCACAUCUAUCUUCAUUUUGGUCGUAC
rnacentral:lncRNA from 1 species